rnacentral:rRNA from 1 species
CCUACGGGAGGCAGCAGUGGGGAAUAUUGGGCAAUGGAGGAAACUCUGGCCCAGCGACGCCGCGUGCGGGAUGAAGGCCUUCGGGUUGUAAACCGCUUUCAGCAGGGAAGAAGCGAAAGUGACGGUACCUGCAGAAGAAGCACCGGCUAACUAUGUGCCAGCAGCCGCGGUAAUACAUAGGGUGCAAGCGUUGUCCGGAAUUAUUGGGCGUAAAGAGCUCGUAGGUGGUUCGUCACGUCGGAUGUGAAAAUCUGGGGCUUAACCCCAGACCUGCAUUCGAUACGGGCGAGCUUGAGUAUGGUAGGGGAGUCUGGAAUUCCUGGUGUAGCGGUGGAAUGCGCAGAUAUCAGGAGGAACACCAAUGGCGAAGGCAGGACUCUGGGCCAUUACUGACACUGAGGAGCGAAAGCGUGGGGAGCGAACAGGAUUAGAUACCCUGGUAGUCCACGCCGUAAACGGUGGGCACUAGUUGUGGGGACCUUCCACGGUCUCUGCGACGCAGCUAACGCAUUAAGUGCCCCGCCUGGGGAGUACGAUCGCAAGAUUAAAACUCAAAGGAAUUGACG